rnacentral:rRNA from 1 species
CACGUAGGCGGAUUGUUAAGUCGGGGGUGAAAUCCUGGAGCUCAACUCCAGAACUGCCUUCGAUACUGGCGAUCUCGAGUUCGGGAGAGGUGAGUGGAACUGCGAGUGUAGAGGUGAAAUUCGUAGAUAUUCGCAAGAACACCAGUGGCGAAGGCGGCUCACUGGCCCGAUACUGACGCUGAGGUGCGAAAGCGUGGGAACAAACA